CCAACGGUGUCCCACGGUGUCCCACGGUGUCCCACGGUGUCCCACGGUGUCCCACGGUGUCCCACGGUGUCCAACGGUGUCCAACGGUGUCCAACGGUGUCCAACGGUGUCCAACGGUGUCCAACGGUGUCCAACGGUGUCCAACGGUGUCCAACGGUGUCCCACGUUGCAGUCCAGUCUAGAUCAUCCAAAAUUCUUUUCGCGUUUUUUGGUGAUCUACACUGGAC
rnacentral:misc_RNA from 1 species